GAGGGUCCCAGACGGAUCCAGAGAUCUGCUAACCUGUCUUGCUGUUUGCUUGUGAAAGCCUGGCUGAUUCUUGGAGCAAACAGGAAUCCUUCUGGUAGAGGGACGAGUUACUGCCCCGGUUGCUGAGUCUGUACUGGUUUUGCCAAUGGGAAAAAAUCAUGAUUUUCUGGAUGGUUAUAUUUAAAAAAAACGGUGAUCUAUGAGUUAUCGUUAUAGUGUCAGAGUAACAUCGCAGAACUGCGUUUCUUGGCACCGUAAACACUUGAAUGAGUUCCACGUGGGCGAGAGAAGAAACUUCAGACCAAACAUUACACUGAAAAUACAGUUCUGCUGAAGUCCUUGUGGGUUUCCUUGUUUGAGUGACGAGUGAGCCAGCGGGAAAUCUCUGACACUGGGUCUGCCAGAUGAAUGGGAGAGCCUCACUGGGACGAUGACAUUUGAAAAGGUCCGGGACAGAAGUGCGAGAGCAGAUCAUGUCUCCUUCUAGGGGAGGAGUGAUCCAGGUGAGGGGAACAGCGUGUGCAAAGGACAGAGGAGGGAGUGUGCGUGGUGUGUUCAAAGAACAGCAAGAAGCCAACAGGACCAGGAAAGGGAGUGCGGCCGGACACGAAGAGAGAAGGAGCAGGGAUUGUGUCAAGAGGAGCCUUGUAGGCUAUCACGAAACUUUCUAUUUUGAUGAGAACUUUACUCUGAAUAAAGCUGAAGGUCCCAGAAGAGAUCCCCGAUAAACUGUACCCUUGUUCCCCACCCAA